AUUGAACGCUGGCGGCAGGCCUAACACAUGCAAGUCGAGCGGAGCAGCGGACGGGUGAGUAAUGCCUAGGAAUCUGCCUGGUAGUGGGGGAUAACGUCCGGUAACGGACGCUAAUACCGCAUACUAUCAGAUGAGCCUAGGUGGGAUUAGCUAGGUGGUGGGGUAAAGGCCUACCAAGGCGACGAUCCGUAACUGGUCUGAGAGGAUGAUCAGUCACACUGGAACUGAGACACGGUCCAGACUCCUACGGGAGGCAGCAGUGGGGAAUAUUGGACAAUGGGCGAAAGCCUGAUCCAGCCAUGCCGCGUGUAUGAAGAAGGUCUUCGGAUUGUAAAGUACUUUAAGUGGGGAGGCGUUACCCACAGAAUAAGCACCGGCUAACUCCGUGCCAGCCGCCGCGGUAAUAC
rnacentral:rRNA from 1 species